UCAAAAUUCGCUGACCGAGUGAACUUUCAGCGGGCGGUGCACUCGUCUAUUCUCUCAUUGGUUCAAGAGUCUGGAGUCUGUUCGUUCUAGGUACGUCUUCGAUUCGAGUAACGCUGAAGGUUUUGAUCUUAACGGACGUGUCUUGAGAGCAUUGAGAGCAGUGGUUGCUGUGCAUUCCAGGUAGAAUUUUUAAUCUGCAGAAAAAGUUGCUGCAAGCAUCCGCGAUGUACAAGGCACCGACUGACGACGACCAACAGGUCCGGAAACCACCAGUGGCAAGGAUGGCGACCACAACAGCAACAGCUGUUGGGACUGGUGCGCUGCAAAUUGCAGUCGGAAUCAGCAGUGCGCUUGGGAGGUGCCUGCGUGCCCUGUGUAUUCGAUUGUUCACAGGAGCUGGAGGAGUUGUAGCGAGGGGACACAUCAGAUCUAAAACAUGGCGCUCUGCAGCAGUGUACGGUGGCACAAGAUUUUGUGCCUUUUUAUUAUCGCCUGUGGUUCCGUUUCUAGCAAUCAUUUUGUUGUGCUACGACUUGUACUGUCUUCAUAGAUGGGCGGUCAGCCAAAGCGAUGACAAUGUUGGAGAAUAUUCUCGUGUUUCAGAUUAUCGUCAAUAAAAAUGUUCACACCAGGUAGACGUUCAUAAAUACACUUUUAAGUUUGUGGUUCUGA